UCACCCAUCAAGCCUGGCUUGUUGGACUCUGCGGCCGAAACAUGUGGCAGGUCUGAAAAAUAAUGACGGUGUCGUGUUUGACCCUAGAUGCAACGAGCUUUUCAUAGCACGCAUUGAAGUGGUCGGCCGGCCUGGUUUUAACCAUCAAUUUCUAA
rnacentral:misc_RNA from 1 species